AUACUGCCGUGAAUACGUUCCCGGGCCUUGUACACACCGCCCGUCACACCAUGAGAGUUGGAAAUACCCGAAGCCUGUGAGCUAACUUAAAGAGGCAGCAGUCGAAGGUAGAGCCAAUGAUUGGGGUGAAGUCGUAACAAGGUACC
rnacentral:rRNA from 1 species